GAUGAACGCUGGCGGCGUGCCUAAUACAUGCAAGUCGAGCGAACAGACGAGGAGCUUGCUCCUCUGACGUUAUCGGCGGACGGGUGAGUAACACGUGGAUAACCUACCUAUAAGACUGUGAGAACUUCGGGAAACCGGAGCUAAUACCGGAUAAUAUAUUGAACCGCAUUGUUCAAUAGUGAAAGACGGUUUUGCUGUCACUUAUAGAUGGAUCCGCGCCGCAUUAGCUAGUUGGUAAGGUAACGGCUUACCAAGGCAACGAUGCGUAGCCGACCUGAGAGGGAGAUCGGCCACCCGGGAAGUGAGACACGGCAGCGACUCCUACAGGAGGACGCAGUAGGGAAUCUUCCGCAAUGGGCGAGAGCCUGACGGAGCAAAGCCGCGUGAGUGAUGAAGGUCUUCGGAUGGUAAAACUCUGUUAUUAGGGAAGAACAAAUGUGUAAGUAACUAUGAACGUAUUGACGGUACCUAAUCAGAAAGCCACGGCUAACUACGUG
rnacentral:rRNA from 1 species